GUCCCGCAACGAGCGCAACCCCGCCGUUAGUUGCCAGCGGUUCGGCCGGGCACUCUAACGGGACUGCCCGCGAAAGCGGGAGGAAGGAGGGGACGACGUCUGGUCAGCAUGGCCCUUACGGCCUGGGCGACACACGUGCUACAAUGCCCACUACAAAGCGAGGCCACCCGGCAACGGGGAGCUAAUCGCAAAAAGGUGGGCCCAGUUCGGAUUGGGGUCUGCAACCCGACCCCAUGAAGCCGGAAUCGCUAGUAAUCGCGGAUCAGCCAUGCCGCGGUGAAUACGUUCCCGGGCCUU
rnacentral:rRNA from 1 species